GACGAACGCUGGCGGCGUGCUUAACACAUGCAAGUCGAGCGGUAAGGCCCUUUCGGGGGUACACGAGCGGCGAACGGGUGAGUAACACGUGGGUGACCUGCCCUUAGCUCUGGGAUAAGCCUGGGAAACUGGGUCUAAUACCGGAUAUGACUCCAUGACGCAUGUUGUGGGGUGAAAGCCUUGUGCGGCUAGGGAUGGGCCCGCGGCCUAUCAGCUUGUUGGUGGGGUGAUGACCACCAAGGCGACGACGGGUAGCCGGCCUGAGAGGGCGACCGGCCACACUGGGACUGAGACACGGCCCAGACUCCUACGGGAGGCAGCAGUGGGGAAUCUUGCGCAAUGGGCGAAAGCCUGACGCAGCGACG
rnacentral:rRNA from 1 species